CCUACGGGGGGCUGCAGUGAGGAAUAUUGGUCAAUGGACGAGAGUCUGAACCAGCCAAGUAGCGUGAAGGAUGACUGCCCUAUGGGUUGUAAACUUCUUUUAUAAAGGAAUAAAACGAGGCACGUGUGCCUUUUUGCAUGUACUUUAUGAAUAAGGAUCGGCUAACUCCGUGCCAGCAGCCGCGGUAAUACGGAGGAUCCGAGCGUUAUCCGGUUUUAUUGGGUUUAAAGGGAGCGUAGAUGGGUUGUUAAGUAAGGUGUGAAAGUUUGAGGCUCAACCGUAAAAUUGCAAUUGAUACUGGGAGUCUUGAGGACAGUUGAGGUAGGCAGGAUUCGUGGUGUAGCGGUGAAAUGCGUAGAUAUCACGAAGAACCCCGAUUGCGAAGGCAGCUUACUAAACUGUGACUGACAUUGAUGCUCGAAAGUGUGGGUAUCAAACAGGAUUAGAUACCCCGGUAGUC
rnacentral:rRNA from 1 species